CGCCCACUAACUAUGAUCACUCUGGUGGGUGUGGCAAAAUAAAAUGGCCGCCGAAACAGCAGAAAAAACACCUUGACAAAAACGGAGAAGAAAACAGCUUUUUAGUCACUUAGUGAUGAAACAAGGUUCCUCGAGAAAAGCAGAGAUCAUAAACAAAAAAAAUUACUCAUGACAACAACUCAUAGCCACAUCAUUGACUUCCUAAUAAAUAGAGUUCUGAAACUAGAAACAAUUUAGAACACUUCUUAAAUAAAUGAUCAGAGUCCUCAAUUAAUAUUAAAUUAAUGAUCAAAGUCCUCACACUGGGUACUGUUCACUUAUGUGAUGCAUUAUGUUGAACCAAACAUCUCUAGCACUAGGACCAUAUCUUUCACGCCACAUAAAUUCAUCUAGAUAUGAUGGCAACUGCUCUGCAUGACAUCCUUUCAUUCUUUUCAGCUUCCGUUUUGCUCUACUCCAGUAAGACUCGAUGUUUUGAGUAUGCACACCAGUAGCUGGAUCUACAAAAUUGACUGAGUGAUUAACCAUUUGAUGGGCAGCAACUUGUGGUAAAGAAGCAACCUGCCGAUAAGCACUCCAUUCGUUGGAGUAAACAGUGGUACCAUUAGCUACAUGUGCUUGAAUUAUGGGAUAUAGAGUUGCUGCCUGUCUAUUUGGUACCAGUUGCAUGAAACCUAGUGACGGUUGGAAUGAUGUGUCCACCAUCCCAAAGACCCACAACUCCUGUCUAGUUGCUCGUCCUCUAUGAUGCUAUAAUAAAAAGUUUGUGACGAAACAAGGACUCAUCUAUUUGGACCACUUUGCCUGGUCCUCCUAAAACAAUAGGUACUGAGAUCAAUUUGGUGGA